GAUGAACGCUAGCUACAGGCUUAACACAUGCAAGUCGAGGGGUAACGAGAGGAAAGCUUGCUUUCCUUGUCGACGACCGGCGCACGGGUGAGUAACGCGUAUCCAACCUGCCCCCAACUAGGGAAUAACCUUGCGAAAGUAAGACUAAUACCCUAUAAUUUCCUCAGAUGCCAUCUGACGAGGAAUAAAGAUUUAUCGGUUGUGGGUGGGAACGCGUCUGAUUAGCUUGUUGGCGGGGUAACGGCCCACCAAGGCAACGAUCAGUAGGGGUGCUAAGAGGAAGAUCCCCCAAAUGGGAACUGAGCGACGGUCCAAACUCCUACGGGAGGCAGCAGUGAGUAAUUUUGGUCAAUGGGCGGAAGCCUGAACCAGCCAAGUAGCGUGCAGGAUGACGGCCCGAUGGGUUGUAAACUGCUUUUAUACAGGAAUAAAGUUAGCCACGUGUGGUUAUUUGUAGGUACUGUAUGAAUAAGGACCGGCUAAUUCCGUGCCAGCCGCCGCCGUAA
rnacentral:rRNA from 1 species